GCCAAAAAACUAGCUUAAUUAUCAAAGUAACUUUACACUAUAAAUAACCAAAACAUAACAUUAAAACAAUUAACUAAAUCAUUCCACACCUUAGUAUGGGAGACAGAAAAGGCCAUAAUUUAAAGCAAUAGAAAAAGUACCGCAAGGGAAAGUUGAAAGAGAAAUGAAACAAACCAUAGAAGCCGUAAAAAUCAAAGACUAGAUCUUGUACCUUUUGCAUCAUGAUUUAGCAAGUCCACCCAAGCAAAGAGAGCUUUAGUUUGAGACCCCGAAACCAAGUGAGCUACCCCGAGACAGCCUAUACAAAAGUAGGGCAAACCCACCUCUGUGGCAAAAGAGUGGAAAGAGCUCCGGGUAGGAGUGACAGACCUAUCGAACUUGGUGAUAGCUGGUUGCCUAGAAAAUGAAUAUGAGUUCAGCCUCGUAAAACCCAAAUCAAUUAAAAAUACUAUUACGACCCAUGAGAAAAAUACGAGAGUUAAUUUAAGGAGGUACAGCCCCUUAAAGAAAGAAUACAAUCUUGUCAGGAGAAUAAAGAUCAUAAUAUUAACAAAAUAUCAUCCCAGUGGGCCUAAAAGCAGCCACCUAAACAGAAAGCGUCAAAGCUCAAACAAGUAAAAAUUUAUUAUUCUUAUAAACAAUCUUACUUCCCCUAAAAUACUAGGCCAUUCCAUGCACCCAUGGAAGAGAUUAUGCUAGAAUGAGUAACAAGAAGAGCAUUACCUUCUCCAAGCACAAGUGUAAACCAGAUCGGAAGAACCGCUGAUGAUUAACGAACCCAAACAAAGAGGGAACUAUGAAGAACAUAAUAAUCAAGAAAAACCCAAAACAAAUGAUCGUUACCCCUACACUGGAGUGCAUAAAGGAAAGACUAAAAGAUAAGGAAGGAACUCGGCAAACCCAAGCUCCGCCUGUUUACCAAAAACAUCGCCUCCUGCAACAUCUAACAUAGGAGGUCCAGCCUGCCCAGUGACUACAAGUUCAACGGCCGCGGUAUCCUAACCGUGCGAAGGUAGCGCAAUCACUAGUCCUCUAAAUAGGGACAUGUAUGAAUGGUUAAACGAGGGCUUAACUGUCUCCCUUUUCCAGUCAGUGAAAUUGACCUAUCCGUGCAGAGGCGGAUAUAAUAAUACAAGACGAGAAGACCCUUUGGAGCUUAAGGCACAAGACCCACCCAUGUUAAACGAACUCACAAACAUCUAAAACUCAAGGAUAGUGAGACUCUGCCUUCGGUUGGGGCGACCACGGAGAAGAAAGCAACCUCCGAGUGGACUGAAAAAAAUUCAAAGCCAAGAGGAACAUCUCUAAGCAACAGAACAUCUGACCAAGUAUGACCCGGCUAUAAACCGAUCAACGAACCAAGUUACCCAAGGGAUAACAGCGCAAUCCUCUUCCAGAGCCCAUAUCAAAGAGAGGGUUUACGACCUCGAUGUUGGAUCAGGACAUCCUAGUGGUGCAGCCGCUAUUAAGGGUUCGUUUGUUCAACGAUUAAAGUCCUACGUGAUCUGAGUUCAGACCGGAGUAAUCCAGGUCAGUUUCUAUCUGUAACGCUACUUUUCCUAGUACGAAAGGACCGGAAAAAGAGGGCCCAUCCUGAAAGCACGCCCUACUUCAAACCAAUGAAAUCAAAUAAAUUAAAUGAUGAAAAGGCAUAAAC
rnacentral:rRNA from 1 species